GUUUCCCUGCAAAGUGCGUGAUGUGUCUAUUAUGUACCACAAUAGCAAACAGGGACGCCGGAUAAACUCUUGCCGUGAAUUGCAGGCCUCCCGCCCGGCUUAAAUGUGUCGGCGCGGACGUUGGAAGCAGAGAAGCGGCGGGGAGGCGACCCACCUGCCAUAAGUGCAGGUUACUAACGGACGCACACGGCUUACGCGGGGAAUCU
rnacentral:other from 1 species